rnacentral:rRNA from 1 species
GGGGCCCGCACAAGCGGCGGAGCAUGUUGCUUAAUUUGACGCAACGCGAAGAACCUUACCAAGGUUUGACACGCAGGGAAAAGCCGUAGAGAUAUGGUGUCCGUAAGGGUCCUGCACAGGUGGUGCAUGGCUGUCGUCAGCUCGUGUCGUGAGAUGUUGGGUUAAGUCCCGCAACGAGCGCAACCCUCGUCCUAUGUUGCCAGCGGGUAAUGCCGGGGACUCAUAGGAGACUGCCGGGGUCAACUCGGAGGAAGGUGGGGAUGACGUCAAGUCCUCAUGCCCCUUAUGUCUUGGGCUGCAAACAUGCUACAAUGGCCGGUACAAAGGGUUGCGAGACCGCAAGGUGGAGCGAAUCCCAAAAAGCCGGUCUCAGUUCGGAUUGGGGUCUGCAACUCGACCCCAUGAAGUCGGAGUCGCUAGUAAUCGCAGAUCAG